rnacentral:misc_RNA from 1 species
GACAAUAUCUGGAUUGCUCCUGGGACUAGAGUUCUCUAUCUAGGAGCUGCUUCUGGGACGACUGUGUCUCAUGUUUCUGAUCUUGUUGGACCGACUGGAAUGGUAUAUGCUGUGGAGUUUUCACAUAGGAGUGGUAGGGAUCUUGUUAAUAUGGCUAAAAAGCGAACCAAUGUUAUUCCUAUUAUUGAAGAUGCCAGGCAUCCUGCAAAAUACCGGAUGCUUGUUGGUAUGGUGGAUGUCAUCUUUUCUGAUGUUGCUCAGCCGGAUCAGGCUAGGAUUUUGGCAUUGAAUGCAUCUUAUUUCUUG